GACUAUCCAAUUACACGGGAUAUUAAAGACAAAAGAUGAUGGUGUAAUCAAUAAUCACUAAUAUUUUUUAUUGAAGGACUUCUAUAUAUAUAUAACCAUUUUAGCCAUCGUUUUGCUAACGUUUCUGCAUGUAUUGGAGUCCUCACAUCCUGCAAGAGUGUGUUAAAUCAAAGAAACAUUUUUAUGAGUUUGAUUUAUCAAAAUAAAAAAAUAACUUUUGGGUUCUCAACGUAAAAGUAGAAGUGCAUGAAACUAACUUUAAAAUUGCAUCGCCAAAAGGAUUUAUAAACUAAUUUACAGUCUGAUUACUCACUCACUUUGGUAAAAGAAAAAAAUAUUAAAUUUUUAUUUUUAAAAUAGAAAUCAGGCCAUGUUAGAAAUACAAUAGAUACACCUAGUUUGAAUUAAAGUAUGAUUUGUACAUGUGACGACCCAACUACACAGCUACAGAUAUCAAAAUUACGAAGCGAAUUGUGCAAAUGCGACAAAACAUUCACAUUUGCAAAGGUCCCAUCCCUGGCAAAUGAGAACCAAGCUUCCUAUUUGUGAAGCUGCUCAAACAAUGCCCAGUGUCGCAAAUGCGAUGAUCCCCCAUCCGCAAAUGCGACGCAGACUUUGCAAAACCAAAGUGCCAGCCCCCAGCUCAUCUUCGCAAAUCUGAGCCAUCCCUCGCAAAAGUGAUACGUGUGGAUUUUAACUAAUUAUUAGUGCCUUCUAGCUUUAGUUCUAGUCUGAAAAUAGUGAUUUUUGUUUCCGAAUUUAAUGAAAAUGUGUGAAUUGCAGGUAUGUUGGAGGAUGCGAGGUCAAUGAAGAAAUCUAACUCAAAGAGAAGAUGUCCAGAAUUUAUUCUGCAGCUGCAAAUGCAAAUUGUGGCCCACAGAAAGUGAAUUGCUGCCGCACCGCAGACUAAACAAUGAAGCUUCAGAGGAUUUUAACAGCAGUGCAGCUUGCACACCAAAUUAUAUGGCCGCAGAAACUGCUGGCAUUGACAAGACUGAGAUAUUAGAAAAGAUGCAAAAAAAAAAAACAAAUCUAAAGCCUCCUUAAAGCGCGGUCCGCAACCUAAUUGUGUGGCCGUAGAAGUUUAUUCGCGGCCACUAAAUUUCCCCAACUAACAAGCACUGUAAAGACAACAAACUGAAGUGCAGACCGCAGAUAAAAGUAUGCGGCCGUAGAGGUUUUUUUCUCAAAUAGAGAAGAUAUGCAAAAACCAACACUGGUUAGUUU
rnacentral:lncRNA from 1 species